GGGGCUCUUCAUUCCCCAGUCAUCCUGGUGCAGUGCGAGCCAGCAGUGAGGCACCUCUUGUGUUUUCAUGUCCUUCUCAGUCGAUUUACCAGUCCAGUUAUAAGUGCAAGUUGGUUGUGUAAGAACCCGGAACACCAGCUUGCUGAAAAUGCCGUUGAAGAUUGCUGCCUGUUCUCAGAUCCUUCAUUGCGAUUUCCCGUUCAUCUGCUUGCCUGUGAAAGCUCCCACGAAGAGUCGCCAAGGGGUCAAGAUCAAGGCUACUAACCAGGAUGCUUUCCUGCCUCUUCCAGAUUGGAGCUCCCAUCCCGGUCUGGGCCGGCUGCAGGCAGGAACAUGCUGCUGGGCAUCACCAUCUCGGGAGUGGUCACCUGGG